rnacentral:rRNA from 1 species
CCAAUAGCGUAUAUUAAAGUUGUUGCAGUUAAAAAGCUCGUAGUUGAAUUUUUGAUUCUGCCAAUUGGUCCAUCUUUUAGAUGAGUACUGGUUGUGUGGGGUCUAUCCGCCUGGUGAUACGUAAUGUCCUUUAUUGGAUGUUGCGGGUAGUCAGGACCUUUACCUUGAAAAAAUUAGAGUGUUUAAAGCAGGCUUAUGCCGGAAUACAUUAGCAUGGAAUAAUAGAAUAGGACGAAGUUGUUUUAUUUUGUUGGUUUCUAGGACAACCGUAAUGAUUAAUAGGGAUAGUUUGGAGCAUUAGUAUUCAAUUGUCAGAGGUGAAAUUCUUGGAUUUAUUGAAGACUAACUACUGCGAAAGCAUUUGCCAAGGAUGUUUUCAUUAAUCAAGAACGAAAGUUAGGGGAUCGAAGACGAUCAGAUACCGUCGUAGUCUUAACCAUAAACUAUGCCGACUAGGGAUCGGGCGAUGUUGUUUCCAUGACUCGCUCGGCACCUUAUGGGAAACCAAAGUGUUGGGUUC